ACGAACGCUGGCGGCGUGCUUAGCACAUGCCAGUCGAACGGAAAGGCCCUGCUUGCAGGGUACUCGAGUGGCGAACGGGUGAGUAACACGUGGGUGAUCUGCCCUGCACUUCGGGAUAAGCCUGGGAAACUGGGUCUAAUACCGGAUAGGAGCCAUUUUUAGUGUGAUGGUUGGAAAGUUUUUUCGGUGUAGGAUGAGCUCGCGGCCUAUCAGCUUGUUGGUGGGGUAAUGGCCUACCAAGGCGGCGACGGGUAGCCGGCCUGAGAGGGUGGACGGCCACAUUGGGACUGAGAUACGGCCCAGACUCCUACGGGAGGCAGCAGUGGGGAAUAUUGCACAAUGGGCGCAAGCCUGAUGCAGCGACGCCGCGUGGGGGAUGACGGCCUUCGGGUUGUAAACUCCUUUCGCUAGGGACGAAGCUUUUGUGACGGUACCUAGAUAAGAAGCACCGGCUAACUACGUG
rnacentral:rRNA from 1 species